GCGGGCGUGGUGAAAUUGGUAGACACGCCAGGUUUAGGUCCUGGUGGCGGUGACGCCGUGGGGGUUCAAGUCCCUCCGCCCGCACCA
rnacentral:tRNA from 1 species